UACGUAGGGGGCAAGCGUUGUUCGGAAUUACUGGGCGUAAAGGGCGCGUAGGCGGCACGGCAAGUCAGAAGUGAAAGGCCUGGGCUCAACCGAGGAACUGCUUUUGAGACUGCCGAGCUAGAGUGCGGAAGGGGCAACCGGAAUUCCCAGUGUAGCGGUGAAAUGCGUAGAUAUUGGGAAGAACACCUGAGGCGAAGGCGGGUUGCUGGGCCGACACUGACGCUGAGGCGCGAAAGCUAGGGGAGCAAACGGG
rnacentral:rRNA from 1 species